AGAUGAAUUAGCUGUGUACCGCUGUCAUGAAGGUUGUUAGGAGUUAGUUAUAUGAGUUAGUUAUUAGUGUAUAGAUUGUACAUUGUACUACACUCAAUAUAUUGUACUACAAGUUGGUUAGUGAUUGUAUUGCAUUAGUAUGAAGUUAGUUUGUUAGAUGCCAACUGCAUUAUAUAAGCAGUGUGUGCAUAUUGUAAACAUUCAAUUCAUUCUUCCAUCUCCACACUUCACUUCAGUAAUAUCACCUUCCCUUUCUCCUCUCACACUCUGCUCUCGUUUACUUCUCUUUUGAUCUCCAUAAUCUCUCGUUUAGUUCUUGUGAUCAGCUGCUAUGGCAGCUGGUUAACUGAUUGAUUCGAAUACAUUUCAAUGGAACAAUAACUUUACAUGAUAUCAGAGCUUCGAUUGAAUGAAUCUAGGGAUUCCUUUCAGUUUAUGAGCAAAGAAAGGAUCGAGAGAUUCAUCAAGUAUUUGUCAAACUCUUAAUUGUUUUUUGAAUUGUAUUAUGUAUUUUCUUCAGUUGUCCUUUGGAGAAUUUUGUUGAAACUCUGUGAUUUUUCAUUAGAACUAUGGUGACCACCUCAGUAACUAAAAAUAUAUAUGGUGAGUACUAUAACUGAAAGUACAGAUAACACAACAAUCGAUUAUAAUCACCCACUGUAUUUGCAUCCUUCAAAUGCACCUGGUUCACUUUUGAUAGACAUUCAAUUAACUAGAAUGGAGAAUUACAUGUUAUGGAGUCGAUCAAUGAAACUUGCACUUCUAGGAAGGAAUAUGUUAGGUUUCAUUGAUGGAUCUAUAAUGAAGGACAACUAUCAAGAUGAAAUGCAAAAAAUGUGGGAAAGGUGCAAUGCUGUUGUUGUCUCAUGGCUGAAUGUUUAGGCAGGUCUGUUAAGUGGAAUAUUGUUCAGAUCUGAUCUUAUCUGGUGUGGAAGGACUUGAAGGAGAGGUUUGACAAGCAACAAGUGUCAAGCUCAGAUCAGCAUACAGGUGAUUCAAAUGCAUGGUUGGAAGAUGAUGAUUCUCUCAGUAUAUCUGGUGCUUAGGUCAUAGCAUCACCUGAUGCUGCUAAUAUUCCUGAUACCAAUCCUGCAACUAUUGUUCCUGAUGCUGAUAUUAUUCCUGAGGAUCCUGUUGAAGCAGUGCCACAACACAGUCAUCCCAAGGAGCAACAUCAAUUUAUAGUUCCUGAUAAUGCUGAUUCUAGAAGAUCACAGAGAUUCACAAGGCCUCCCAUCUGGCACAAAGACCUUGUGAUUCCUACAGCAAAGAAAGGAACAGAAAGUGGAUGUUAAUAUCCUGUAGCACAGGCUGUUUUUAUGAUGGCUUGUCCAAACACUAUCAGUGUUUUAUAUCCAAUUUCACAGCAGUUACUGAACCUAAGUCUUAUGCAGAAGCAGCUUAUCAUUCAAAAUGGACAAAUGCAACGCAAACAGAGAUCAAAGCACUGGAGGAAAAUAAGACAUGGAGGUUAUUCCACUGCCUAAAGGAAAGAAAACUAUUGGUUGCAGAUGGGUUUAUAAGAUCAAGUAUAAAGCAUAUGGCACUAUAGAGAGAUAUAAGGCAAGGCUUGUGGCAAAGGGUUAUAGCCAAAGAGAGGGCCUAGACAAUCAAGAGAAAUUUUCACCAAUAGUAAAAAUGGUGACAGUUAGAUCAAUUAUUACAAUGGCUGCUGCACAAAACUGGCAUAUCCACCAGAUGGAUGUAUACAAUUGAUAGUUUCAAUUACAUUCGUGUU